GAUCCUGGCUCAGGAUGAACGCUAGCUACAGGCUUAACACAUGCAGGUCGAGGGGCAGCAUGGACCCAGCUUUGCUGGGUUUGAUGGCGACCGGCGCACGGGUGAGUAACGCGUAUCCAACCUGCCCUUUACUCCGGGAUAGUCUCCUGAAAGGGAGUUUAAUACCGGAUGUGUUUGUCUUUCCGCAUGGGAGCGACAAAUAAAGAUUGAUUGGUUAAAGGGAAUGGGGAGUGCGUCCCACUUAGCUUGUUGGG
rnacentral:rRNA from 1 species